UAAGUUGCCGCAGGCUCCUUAAAGCGGGGUAGCGCGUAGUCGGGCCAGCGGGGGCGUUCUACCAUGGUGUGUGAGUCUGAGAAACAGCCCACCUGAUUGUGUGGUUCAUCAUAGGGAAGAAUGUGAAUAAGCAUAACUUUAAAAAUAAGUUUUCA